rnacentral:rRNA from 1 species
AACGAACGCUGGCGGCAUGCCUAACACAUGCAAGUCGAACGAACCCUUCGGGGUUAGUGGCGGACGGGUGAGUAACACGUGGGAACGUGCCCUUUGGUUCGGAACAACUCAGGGAAACUUGAGCUAAUACCGGAUGUGCCCUUCGGGGGAAAGAUUUAUCGCCAUUGGAGCGGCCCGCGUCUGAUUAGCUAGUUGGUGGGGUAAAGGCCCACCAAGGCGACGAUCAGUAGCUGGUCUGGGAGGAUGAUCAGCCACAUUGGGACUGAGACACGGCCCAAACUCCUACGGGAGGCAGCAGUGGGGAAUCUUGCGCAAUGGGCGAAAGCCUGACGCAGCCAUGCCGCGUGAAUGAUGAAGGUCUUAGGAUUGUAAAAUUCUUUCACCGGGGACGAUAAUGACGGUACCCGGAGAAGAAGCCCCGGCUAACUUCGUGCCAGCCGCCGCCGUAACAC